AUCUAACUAACGAGUCCAAAAUAGGACGAAGAAGCGCGUUCUGGAU
rfam:Schistosoma mattheei strain Denwood, Zambia genome assembly, scaffold: SMTD_scaffold0002120